rnacentral:rRNA from 1 species
GGGGAAUAUUGGGCAAUGGGCGAAAGCCUGACCCAGCAACGCCGCGUGAGGGAAGAAGGGUUUCGGAUUGUAAACCUCUGUCCUCAGGGGACGAAGGAAGUGACGGUACCUGAGGAGGAAGCCCCGGCUAACUACGUGCCAGCAGCCGCGGUAAUACGUAGGGGGCAAGCGUUGUCCGGAAUGACUGGGCGUAAAGGGCGUGUAGGCGGCCUGAUAAGUAUGAAGUGAAAGUCCUGCUUUCAAGGUGGGAAUUGCUUUGUAGACUGUCGGGCUUGAGUGCGGAAGAGGUAAGUGGAAUUCCCAGUGUAGCGGUGAAAUGCGUAGAGAUUGGGAGGAACACCAGUGGCGAAGGCGACUUACUGGGCCGUAACUGACGCUUAGGCGCGAAAGCGUGGGGAGCGAACAGGAUUAGAUACCCUGGUAGUCCACGCUGUAAACGAUGAAUGCUAGGUGUAGGGGGUAUCGACCCCUCCUAGUGCCGCAGUAAACGCCAUAAGCAUUCCGCCUGG